rnacentral:rRNA from 1 species
CAAAGGCUUGGUCCUGACUUUACUAUCAGCUCUAACUGAACUUACCAUGCAGUCUCGCAUUCCUGUGACGGAUGCCCUUAAUCCUGCCCGGGCACGAGGAGCCGGUAUCAGCACGCCCAGGCAGCCCACGACGCCUUGCUAAGCCACAACCCCCAAGGAAACUCAGCAGUGAUAAAUAUUAAGCCAUAAGCGAAAGCUUGACUUAGUUAAGGUUAAGAGGGCCGGUAAAACUCGUGCCAGCCACCGCGGUUAUACGAGAGGCCCUAGUUGAUAACUACCGGCGUAAAGAGUGGUUAUGGAAGAUACUUGAUAAAGCCGAACACUCCCUCAGCCGUCAUA